AACGGGGAAGCCGAAAACCGUGAAGAGUAGGCA
rnacentral:ncRNA from 1 species